UACGUAGGGGGCAAACGUUGUCCGGAAUCAUUGGGCGUAAAGAGCGUGUAGGCGGUCCGGUAAGUCGGCUGUGAAAGUCCAGGGCUCAACCCUGGGAUGCCGGUCGAUACUGCCGGACUAGAGUUCGGAAGAGGCGAGUGGAAUUCCCGGUGUAGCGGUGAAAUGCGCAGAUAUCGGGAGGAACACCUAUGGCGAAGGCAGCUCGCUGGGACGUUACUGACGCUGAGACGCGAAAGCGUGGGGAGCAAACAGG
rnacentral:rRNA from 1 species